GACGAACGCUGGCGGCGUGCCUAAUACAUGCAAGUAGAACGCUGAAGAGAGGAGCUUGCUCUUCUUGGAUGAGUUGCGAACGGGUGAGUAACGCGUAGGUAACCUGCCUUGUAGCGGGGGAUAACUAUUGGAAACGAUAGCUAAUACCGCAUAACAAUGGAUGACACAUGUCAUUUAUUUGAAAGGGGCAAUUGCUCCACUACAAGAUGGACCUGCGUUGUAUUAGCUAGUAGGUGAGGUAACGGCUCACCUAGGCGACGAUACAUAGCCGACCUGAGAGGGUGAUCGGCCACACUGGGACUGAGACACGGCCCAGACUCCUACGGGAGGCAGCAGUAGGGAAUCUUCGGCAAUGGGGGCAACCCUGACCGAGCAACGCCGCGUGAGUGAAGAAGGUUUUCGGAUCGUAAAGCUCUGUUGUAAGCCAAGAACGAGUGUGAGAGUGGAAAGUUCACACUGUGACGGUAGCUUACCAGAAAGGGACGGCUAACUACGUG
rnacentral:rRNA from 1 species